CAGCCGCCGCGGUAAUACGGAGGGGGCUAGCGUUGUUCGGAAUUACUGGGCGUAAAGCGCACGUAGGCGGCUUGGUAAGUUAGAGGUGAAAGCCUAGAGCUCAACUCCAGAAUUGCCUUUAAGACUGCCGAGCUAGCAGGUGAGAGAGGUAAGUGGAAUUCCGAGUGUAGAGGUGAAAUUCGUAGAUAUUCGGAAGAACACCAGUGGCGAAGGCGGCUUACUGGCUCAUACUGGACGCUGAGGUGCGAAAGCGUGGGGAGCAAACAGGAUUAGAUACCCGAGUAGUCCCUGUCUCUUAUAC
rnacentral:rRNA from 1 species